rnacentral:rRNA from 1 species
AUGCAGUUCCUGAAGCCGCGCACCGUCCGCCUCUAUCCGAAACUACGGCGAUGGAUCUUGACGGACGCCGCGAGCUCUGGUUCCGGCCUGCAGCCGCUCGCUCUAGCCCUCAACAAGCGCCUCGCCGACGACGCUGGGAAGAGCAACAAGAACCUCGUCUUCUCGCCGUUGUCCAUCUACGCGGCGCUAUCGCUGGUGGCCGCCGGCGCCCGCGAGCGCACCCUGGCGGAGAUGCUCGGCGUCCUCGGGGCGCGGUCCCGGGACGACCUUGCCGGGUCAGUCCGCGCGCUGGCGGAGCAGGCCCUCGCCGACCAGUCAUGGGCCGGCGGACCGCACGUCAGCUUCGCUUGCGCCGUGUGGCACGACAAGACGAGGCCCCUCAAGCCCGACUACGUCGCCGCCGCCGUCAAGUCCUACAAGGCGCAGACGUGCGCCGUGGACUUCCACGAGAAGCCGAAGGAAGCUGCGGAGCAGAUCAACGCAUGGGUGGCGGCGUCGACGAACAAGCUCAUCCCCUCAAUCGUUGAUCCAGAUACACUGUCCAACCAGACCGACCUCGUCGUCGCCAACGCCAUCUACUUCAAGGGCAAGUGGGACAAGCCGUUCGACGAGGAAGACACCAAGGAGGACAAGUUCCACCGCCGUGACAGCAGCACCAUCGACGUGCCCUUCAUGCGAGGUUGGGGCAAGCAGCGUAUCGCGUGCCACGACGGCUUCAAGGUGCUCCAGCUUCGUUACCGGAGAGGCCUGUCGUCGCCGGCACGCUACUCGAUGUGCAUCUUCCUCCCCGACGACCGCGACGGGCUGUCGCAGCUGUCCGACAGGAUAGCGGCCGACCCUGACUUUCUACGCGAGCACUUGCCGACGAGCACCGUCUUGGUCGGCGACUUCCGUCUACCCAAGUUCAAGCUCGCGUUCGAUACCGAGUUGACGGGCGUUCUCCAGGACUUGGGACUCAAGGACGCUUUCGACCCGGGGAAGGCCGACUUCACGGACAUGGCGGAGGGCACCUUCAGGCCCCUGGCACUGGAGGAAGUGCUACACAAGGCUGUCAUCGAGGUGAAUGAGGAAGGCACCGAGGCGGCCGCUGUAACGGCAGCCCUCAUGUUUGGAUGUGCAUCUGACUACCCGCCGCAGUGUGUGGACUUUGUCGCUGAUCAUCCAUUUGCCUUCUUUGUGAUGGAGGAGGCGUCGGGUGCGAUCAUGUUCGCAGGGCACGUCCUUGACCCAUCAAGUUAG